rnacentral:rRNA from 1 species
UACAGAGGUCUCAAGCGUUGUUCGGAUUCAUUGGGCGUAAAGGGUGCGUAGGCGGCGCGGUAAGUCAGGUGUGAAAUCUCGGAGCUUAACUCCGAAACUGCAUUCGAUACUGCCGUGCUUGAGGACUGGAGAGGAGACUGGAAUUUACGGUGUAGCGGUGAAAUGCGUAGAUAUCAGGAGGAACACCUGUGGUGUAGACGGCUCUCUGGACCGCAACUGACGCUGAGACACGAAAGCGUGGGUAGCAAACAGG